rnacentral:rRNA from 1 species
UACGUAGGGUGCAAGCGUUGUCCGGAAUUAUUGGGCGUAAAGAGCUCGUAGGCGGCUUGUCGCGUCGGCUGUGAAAACCUGGGGCUCAACCCCGGGCCUGCAGCCGAUACGGGCAAGCUAGAAUUCGGUAGGGGAGACUGGAAUUCCUGGUGUAGCGGUGAAAUGCGUAGAUAUCUGGAGGAACACCGGUGGCGAAGGCGGCAUUCUGGACUGUAACUGACACUGAGGAACGAAAGCCAGGGGAGCAAACGGG